AGAACUGGGUCCAUUCCAUAGAGUUUUCAGAGGCUGUGAUCUUUUGGAAGUAGAUUGCCGGGGCUUUUUUCCAAGGCAUCUCAGUUUGAGUUUAAACUGCUAACUUUUCAGUUAGAAGCAGAGCGCUUAGUUGUUUAUACCAGCCAGAGACUCCCGUUUAAGUACAAAUAUGUGUAAUUGGCAGGAAGGAGUUGACAUGUUGAGCAAUGACUUCCCCAUUAUAUAGAGGUUAGUUUAUCAGUUUCCUUACAGAAAGCUGGAGCCUGAUAGCACAAGGCAGACAAGUUUUGACAGCGAGAGUGAGUGAGGAAACAUCAGGAUGGGGCGGCAGUGGAGGAUGAGGCAUCCCAGGAAGACCUCAGGCCUCCAGGAGCACUCGUGCUGGGCAUCAGAGAGAGAAGGCACCACCCAGAAGGCUGAGCGUUGGCUUCAGAUGGAGAGGGCAAGCAGCAACUGACCUCUGCUGCCCAAUGACAUCGCAUCGGAAACCAAUCCCAGGAAGGAAUGCCUCGAAGAGCCUCCUCUCCCCUGCACCCCUCCAUUAGAGGCCCGGCAUCAUGGGGAUUUACCUUGUCUGCAGAAUCCCUCUCCAGCGUCCAAGUUAGCGUAAUCUUCAUUCUGACUUCAUGAUCUGCAUGUCGAAGCACGUCUUACAUUCAUCUUUGCACUUUUCCUCCUUGGGGAUGCUACUGGAGGUCAGGAGUCAGCCCAGGAUUUAAAUGUCCCUACCCGGCUUCCUAGAGAGGAAUUAAUGGUAAAAAUCUCUGGUUCUUUCCUAACUGCUUUACUUCUUUUAUUUGCUUUCCAACCUCACUUUUCUCCUUUUCCAAUUAUUCCCAACAAACAAUUUACUUAUACAGAAUUUCUUAUGGUUCAUAAAGAGGUAUCCAGAAGUCAGUUCAUGGAAAAUAGAGCUCCAUAUUAGGGAAACUUAGGAUAGGGAGGGGGUAUGCAUGUGCAGUUCCUAAAUAGAUCAUAAUGUUCCAUAUCUAGGGGUCCCCUGGGGAUCUGUGGGUGGCACAAUAGGUUGUGCUAGACUACUAACCUAAAGCCUGGUGGUUUGAACCCAUUCAGCAGUGCCACAGAAGAAAGACCUGGAGAUCUGCUUCUGUAAAGAUUACAGCCAAGAAAAAUCUAUGAAGCAGUUCUACUC